CGCCAGACUCCUACGGGAGGCAGCAGUGGGGGAUAUUGCACAAUGGGGGGAACCCUGAUGCAGCGACGCCGCGUGGGUGAAGAAGCGCCUCGGCGCGUAAAGCCCUGUCAGCAGGGAAGAAAAUGACGGUACCUGAAGAAGAAGCCCCGGCUAACUACGUGCCAGCAGCCGCGGUAAUACGUAGGGGGCAAGCGUUAUCCGGAUUUACUGGGUGUAAAGGGGGCGCAGACGGCGAUGCAAGCCAGGAGUGAAAAUCCGGGGCCCAACCCCGGAAUUGCAUUGGAAACUGCAUAUCUAGAGUGUCGGAGAGGCAAGUGGAAUUCCUGGUGUAGCGGUGAAAUGCGUAGAUAUCAGGAGGAACACCAGUGGCGAAGGCGGCUUGCUGGACGAUGACUGACGUUGAGGCUCGAAAGCGUGGGGAGCAAACAGGAUUAGAUACCCGCGUAUC
rnacentral:rRNA from 1 species